GUCUACAGCCAUGCCACCCUGAAUGUUCCUGAUCUCAUCUGAUCUCAGAAGCUAAGCAGGGUCGGGCCUGGUUUGUACUUAGAUGGGAGACCACCUAGA
rnacentral:rRNA from 1 species